ensembl:lncRNA
CCACAGCCAGUUUCCUCUUGCCGGCGGCUCCUCUGACCUGCCCUGGAGACGCGCCUCUGUGAAGCGCCCACGUGUGGAGAGAAGGUCGGCGGAGCCGGGGAGUGGACAAAGUUGCCAGGAGAGGGCGGGAGGGAAGGUGCCCAGGGUGAGACUCUGGGAUCCCCAACAUCAUAAAGGACCCUCAGGGAUGCGGGAACCGAGACGGCAUGGAUGGAAAACUCUUUCCAGGAAGGCUGAGGGACGCCAGAACUGCAUUCUGGAUCUUUCCCUUACAACCUGCUGCACCUGCAGUUUUCCCACCUCAGUUGAUGGCAGGCUCAGGCCAAAAGACUUGACGCCGGCCUUUCUCUCACACCGCACGUCCAAUUUGGCACAAAAUCGUGUUUCCUCUCUGGUUAAUUGCGGACUUUAGUCCACACAAUCUUUUCUCUUUCUUAGUCUCUGAUCUUGGCAAACGAAUCUCCUGAUAAAGGCGUGGAGAUCGAGUCAACUCCCAACCCUCGUCCGUUAAGACUUUAGGGUUUGAGACCUUUAAUCUCGGGAUCCUGGGGUUGGGCCGCCGUUGAGACUUCCUUUGGCUCUGCCCGUCAACAUCAGCCUCUUCCGGUCCUGUCCUCCAGGGCCAGUGGCGAAGCCCCCUCAGCGCGGCCCCUCUCGCCGGGUCAGGAGCCCCACACACGCCUCCAGCGGCGCCUGCACAGAAGCGUCGAGAGGCGUUGAUGCAGUUUGAGCCGAGCUCGCGGGGUGCGCGGGCGUGGGCGGUGCGUUUGUGGGUUCCGGCACCGCUGUGCUCCGCCCCCCGGUUCUCAGCCGCCGGCAGUAACGUCCGCGUUAGAUUGAGCGGCGAGCACGCGCAGGCAGGGAGAGAGCGGUAGGAGAAGGUCGGCUUCCCCAAGUCCUGUCCAGUAAGGAUCAAAAAACGAUCUUGAAGAGACAGAAAGGGAGAGGUAGAAACAGAGCAAAGGGAAAGGAAGAAAUCCUAUGAGAUUUCCAUGAAGAUCAAAUCGGAGUCCUCUGGGACCCGGUCCUCCUGUCGCUGGUGAAGGUGAGUCCAGUUCCCGUCUAUAGCUGGAGCCAACGCAGACGAACUUGGCCUGAUUACCAGCGAGUAAGCAGCUGCUCUUCCUCCCUCUUUGGGCAGCACGUGGUCUUGUAGCGCUUGAACGUCUCUCUCUGGGUUUUCUACACAUUCCAAGGAAGCAAUUGAGAGGGAGACACCUUUACAGAUGGAGAUUUCCUUUACAAAUGUAAACGUCUCUUAACAAAGGGAUUCUUCAUGGAACUAAAAGCUACAGACGACAAUGUAUUCAUUCAACAAGUCCUAGUAGAGAGUCCUGUGGAGUGGCAAAUCCUAUUGUCGACAAAGGGACACAGGAGCGACCACUGCCCUCGUGGAGCUCCGGUGCUGGACACAGGAACCUGCAGCAUCUUUCCGAAGGCGUCUCAGAAGCCUGGGCAAACGCUCAUUCUUUUAGGUGAAAAUGAAGAAAACGGCAAGAGCCAUCACGAGAGCCCACAGGCUGUUCACCUUCCCUAGGCCCCCACGUGGCUCGGGGAUCGCGCACCCGGGCGUCUCCAGGGACGCUGGCCUCUGAGGCGGGUGACGGG